GAUGGCAGUCACCACAGGAUCAGGAGUAAAAGUCUCUCGAAGUUUCCAACUGAUGGAAGAACUCGAAGAAGGCCAGAAAAAGGUAGGAGGUGGCAUAGUUAGCUGGUGUUUAGAAGAUGAUGAAGACCUGGGACAAGAUGGACAGGGAUGAUAAUUGGGCCUCCAAGAAUGAUUUACGAAAAUCAAGUAUACAGCCUUAAAAUAGAAUGUAUCCUAAAUGCCCAGAAGCACCCUGCCUUUGUAAGAUUUGUAACAAAAAUUAAUAUAAAUAGGGUUAAUAGUUGUAAUGGAGUGGUGGACCAAAAAGCCAUAUCAGUGCUAGCAAAAUGGCAGAAUUCAUGUAGCAUCAAAGUUGUCCUACAAGAGCUUUGGUGCCUAAUGAUGUCUAAAGAAAAUGUGACACUCCUUCAGCUGCCUGAAGGACAGGGUUACAGCAGUU
rnacentral:lncRNA from 1 species